rnacentral:rRNA from 1 species
CCCUUAGAUGUUCUUGGCCGCACGCGUGCUACACUGAGUGGAUCAGCGGGUCAGGUUGCGCGAAAGUGUUUCCUAAUCUUUAAAUCCGCUCGUGAUGGGGAUUGACGGUUGCAAUUUUCCGUCAUGAACGAGGAAUACCUUGUAAGCGCGGGUCAUCAUCCCGCGCUGAAUACGUCCCUGCCCUUUGUACACACCGCCCGUCGCUCCUACCGAUUGAGUGGUCCGGUGAGGCUUUGGGAUCUGAGCGGAAAGAGCGUUUCGCUGUUUCUGCCCGGAAAACUCAGUCGAACCUUAUCAUUUAGAGGAAGGGGAAGUCGUAACA